rnacentral:tRNA from 1 species
GCGAAUAUAGUUUAGAGGUAAAACUUUACCUUGCCAAGGUAAAAUCAUGGGUUCAAUUCCCAUUAUUCGCU